UACAGAGGGUGCAAGCGUUGUUCGGAAUUAUUGGGCGUAAAGGGUGCGUAGGCGGUGCGGUAAGUCUUCUGUGAAAUCUCCGGGCUCAACUCGGAGUCUGCAGAGGAAACUGCCGUGCUGGAGUAUGGGAGAGGUGAGUGGAAUUCCCGGUGUAGCGGUGAAAUGCGUAGAUAUUGGGAAGAACACCAGUGGCGAAAGCGGACUUCUGGGUUGUUACUGACGCUGAGGUACGAAAGCGUGGGGAGCAAACGGG
rnacentral:rRNA from 1 species